GAUGAACGCUGGCGGCGUGCCUAACACAUGCAAGUCGAACGGAGAUUCCGGACGGAAGUUUUCGGAUGGAAGACUGUAAUUCUUAGUGGCGGACGGGUGAGUAACGCGUGGGCAACCUGCCCUAUACAGGGGGAUAGCAGCUGGAAACGGCUGGUAAGACCGCAUAAGUCGGUUAAAUCGCAUGAUUUGAUCGGGAAAUGAGCAAUCAGGUAUAGGAUGGGCCCGCGUCCGAUUAGCCAGUUGGCAGGGUAAAAGCCUACCAAAGCGACGAUCGGUAGCCGGACUGAGAGGUCGGACGGCCACAUUGGGACCGAGACACGGCCCAAACUCCUACGGGAGGCAGCAGUGGGGGAUAUUGCACAAUGGAGGAAACUCUGAUGCAGCGACGCCGCGUGAGUGAAGAAGUAUUUCGGUAUGUAAAGCUCUAUCAGCAGGGAAGAUGAUGACGGUACCUGACUAAGAAGCCCCGGCUAACUACGUG
rnacentral:rRNA from 1 species